rnacentral:lncRNA from 1 species
AUGGUUGGAUGGCAUCAUCAAUUCAAUGGACAUGAGUGUGAGGAAACUCCAAGAGAUAGUGAAGGACAGGAAGCCUGGUGUGCUGAGGCCCAGGGGUGUCUCCAAGAGUGGGACAUGACUGAGACUGAGCAACAGGCAAGGGCGGGGACACAGUCCUCAGAUCCACUCAGAUCAACUCAGAAAGGGUGGGGACACGGUCCUCAGAUCAAGGGCGGGGAAACAGUCCUCAGACCCACUCAGACCAACUCAGAAAGGGCGGGGACACAGUCCUCAGAUCAAGGGUGGGGACACGGUCCGCAGAUCCCCUUGACCAACUCAGAAAGGGUGGGGACACAGUCCUCAGAUCCACUCAGACCAACUCAGAAAGGGCGGGGACACAGUCCUCAGAUCCCCUCAGACCAACUCAGAAAGGGUGGGGACACAGUCCUCAGAUCCCCUCGACCAACUCAGAAAGGGUGGGGACACGGUCCUCAGACCCACUCAGACCAACUCAGAAAGGGCGGGGACACAGUCCUCAGAUCCCCUCGACCAACUCAGAAAGGGCGGGGACACAGUCCUCAGAUCCCCUCGACCAACUCAGAAAGGGUGGGGACACGGUCCUCAGAUCCCCUCAGACCAACUCAGAAAGGGUGGGGACACAGUCCUCAGACCCACUCAGACCAACUCAGAAAGGGUGGGGACACAGUCCUCAGAUCCACUCAGACCAACUCAGAAAGGGUGGGGACACAGUCCUCAGAUCCCCUCAGACCAACUCAGAAAGGGUGGGGACACAGUCCUCAGACCCACUCAGACCAACUCAGAAAGGGUGGGGACACGGUCCUCAGACCCACUCAGACCAACUCAGAAAGGGUGGGGACACAGUCCUCAGAUCCCCUCGACCAACUCAGAAAGGGCGGGGACACAGUCCUCAGAUCCCCUCAGACCAACUCAGAAAGGGUGGGGACACAGUCCUCAGAUCCCCUCGACCAACUCAGAAAGGGUGGGGACACAGUCCUCAGAUCCCCUCGACCAACUCAGAAAGGGUGGGGACACGGUCCUCAGACCCACUCAGACCAACUCAGAAAGGGCGGGGACACAGUCCUCAGAUCCCCUCGACCAACUCAGAAAGGGCGGGGACACAGUCCUCAGAUCCCCUCGACCAACUCAGAAAGGGUGGGGACACAGUCCUCAGACCCACUCAGACCAACUCAGAAAGGGUGGGGACACAGUCCUCAGAUCCCCUCGACCAACUCAGAAAGGGCGGGGACACAGUCCUCAGAUCCCCUCAGACCAACUCAGAAAGGGUGGGGACACGGUCCUCAGAUCCCCUCGACCAACUCAGAAAGGGCGGGGACACAGUCCUCAGAUCCCCUCAGACCAACUCAGAAAGGGUGGGGACACAGUCCGCAGAUCCCCUCGACCAACUCAGAAAGGGUGGGGACACAGUCCUCAGAUCCCCUCGACCAACUCAGAAAGGGUGGGGACACAGUCCGCAGAUCCCCUCGACCAACUCAGAUAAGCCUUCCACUUACUUGGUCUUUGAGUUAG